GUGCCUUUAGUAUAAAGAGUUAUGUUUCGCUUAGGACGGAAAGGUCCCUGUGGGGAAGGCUUG
rnacentral:tRNA from 1 species